GAUGAACGCUGGCGGCGUGCUUAACACAUGCAAGUCGAACGAUGAAGCUCAGCUUGCUGGGUGGAUUAGUGGCGAACGGGUGAGUAACACGUGAGUAACCUGCCCUUAACUCUGGGAUAAGCCUGGGAAACUAGGUCUAAUACCGGAUAGGAGCGCCUACCGCAUGGUGGGUGUUGGAAAGAUUUAUCGGUUUUGGAUGGACUCGCGGCCUAUCAGCUUGUUGGUGAGGUAAUGGCUCACCAAGGCGACGACGGGUAGCCGGCCUGAGAGGGUGACCGGCCACACUGGGACUGAGACACGGCCCAGACUCCUACGGGAGGCAGCAGUGGGGAAUAUUGCACAAUGGGCGAAAGCCUGAUGCAGCGACGCCGCGUGAGGGAUGACGGCCUUCGGGUUGUAAACCUCUUUCAGUAGGGAAGAAGCGAAAGUGACGGUACCUGCAGGAGAAGCACCGGCUAACUACGUG
rnacentral:rRNA from 1 species